rnacentral:lncRNA from 1 species
AAGCAUUGUAUACAAAGAAUGUGCUAAAUAAAUGAAAAUCUUAAAUUUGACAGAGAAGGAAAAAAAUUUUUUUUUUCUUUAUUUGGUCAUGUGUGACCAAGAGUUAAUUAGUUUAAUCAACAUCAUCGUAUCCACAUCCUUGUAAGAGGAUAGGCACCACAUAAAGAACAAAAUACAGUAAACAGUGAUAAAAUAAAAAUGAGAGAGGAAGGAAAAAACUCAUUCAAAUGCCAUCACUUAGAUGGUGCUAUACAUCCCUAUUUCUACACACUACCAGCUUUUACAGUUAUUGUUUUUUUUAUACAUGUCCAUCUCUUAUAAAUAUUCUGAAACUCGUAUUUCCUCAGAUACUCAUCCACUUGUCCUCUCCAUUCUUUCCUUGGCUUUCCUCUCCCACAUUUACCCUCCACACAUUCAACAUACAUUUGCUUUGUUAAUUGUUC